UGCCAGCAGCCGCGGUAAUACGGAGGGUGCAAGCGUUAAUCGGAAUUACUGGGCGUAAAGCGCGCGUAGGCGGUUUGUUAAGUCAGCUGUGAAAGCCCAGAGCUCAACUCUGGAACUGCGCCUGAAACUAUUUGUCUAGAGUAUCGGAGAGGUAAGCGGAAUUCCUAGUGUAGCGGUGAAAUGCGUAGAUAUUAGGAGGAACACCAAAGGCGAAGGCAGCUUACUGGACGAUAACUGACGCUGAGGCACGAAAGCGUGGGGAGCGAAAAGGAUUAGAUA
rnacentral:rRNA from 1 species